GGGACGCCUCAGUGCCGGCACCCGGGUCCCAGGGACAGCAGCAGGCGCAGGAGCGGGGCCGCCAGCCCGCCCCAGCGCGGCCCAGCGCGGCCGCAGCCCGCCCCCAGGUCCCCUCCUGGUCCUCCGCGCGGGGCCGGGGACGCUCCUGGCCGGGGGGCACCGCGGCUCGCUCCCUCCGGGACGACAGAACCCGGACAGCGCGGCACCGCCACCACUCACACACUCGGAGGGCAGGAGGCUCGCUCUGACCCGGACGCGAACCGCCCAGAGCCGGAAGUGACGCGAGCGCGGCGCUGGCCGCCGGGAGGGGGCGUGGUCGCGGUGCUGCUGCGGCCGAGCGCGCGGGCCGGGCUUCCGUCGGCGGAGGAGGGCUCUCGGCGCGUCUCGGAAAGCGGGGAGUCACCCCGCGAGAUGUCUGAGGACACCCCUGGAAGCCUGCGGCUCCAAGUGGCUGGUAGAGCACGCCGAGAGACACAGCGAGAUUACGUUCCCCACUGGCUCAGGCUGUCGGGAACUGCCAUCACAGUCUCCUGUGUCAGACUUCACCCUACCUGCCAAUCGCCACGUUCAAAGUCCUCUGGAGAGAAUUCUAUCACCUGGGGGACAGUGGAGCCACACAGUGGAGGACUUGAUGCCUGAGUCAUCAUGUGGAAGGCUGCCUGCCAAAUACCACAGUGAACUCCAGGAUAAGUAAAAUUUCUAGUACGUGAAACCACUGAAAUUGUGGGGUUUUUAUUGGUAAACACUGCCAUACCUAGACUGUACAUGUCAGGACAGGGCUAUGUUACAGUUACAUACAACACCAAAAUCUCAUUAUCUUAUAACAAAAAUGCAUUUCUUGUUUUCGAUACACCAUCAAGAACACUAUACUCAGUGAACAGCUAUCUACUCAGGGAGCGAGGCUGAUAAAAGUUCCCUCCUGACUUCUGUUUCCGAGAUCACCACGGGACUAGGAAAGAACGUGGUAAAUGAUACAUCAGCUUUGAAGGUUUGUGUGCAUACGUGACACGUCACUUCUGCUUACGUUUCAAAGAAAUGGUCAUGCUUAUCUUUAAAAAGAGCAAAGAACCGCAAUCCUACUUUGUGCCACAAAAGGGAAAAUCCAGACACAUUGGCGAACGAGAGCGAGGGCUACCGUGUGAAUCAACGUUGGUGCCUGGAAGAAGGGCACUGCCAUACAGACACUUAAAAUACGUCGUACAGAACAAGUCAUUGGGCAGCAGGCUGGUCAGCGGGACAGCUCUUCUGUACCCUGGUAACAUAUUUAGUAAAUCCGUCCCCAGUGGGACGUAGAAGGUAGACCAGGAGCCCAGUGAGACUCUAACUCAAUGGGAAGUAGAUGGAGGCAGUGACGUGUGUUAGAUACUGUUAUCUGCCUUUAGCAAGAUACCGUGACAGCUCAGAGGAGAUCUGCUUGGUUUUCUAGAAGACAUAGAAAGGUAUUAAGGAAUUCUGAUCCAGGUCCUCUUAGGGUUAGAAAAGCGGGCUGUCCCUAGACCCUCAGUAACAAGACUGUAAAGUGUUGAGUGACAAAGUUACUAAAAGAUCUCUGAUUUAAAAAAAGAAAUGACACAAUUUUUCCGCAAAGAUGAGAUUAAGGGUUCUAAGCUUAGUGUUUCAGAGAGCAGUCAGAUAGUCCUUAGUCGAGAGAGAGGGGCACACACGUGAGGAGGCAAAAAGAUACAUCAUCCUUGAGAGUUUUAUACAGGAAGGAACUCGAGUGCGGAAUUUACAAUACGGGAACCAGAAGCACAUAUAGCAAAAAGGUCACCUUUUAAAGGUAAUUGUUAUUGUUAAGGAAACCAUGGGCAUGGAUAAAAAGAAGACUUUGAUCCUUAAAACAAGCGAUCCCUCCGAGUGUCCCUGCAGGAAGCCCAGAUAACUUAUCUUUCUGGUUUACAGGGUGCCGCUGGACCAUAAGGAGCCAUGUUUCAUACCGGAUACAAGACCGUGUAUCGUGUGGAGAUCUUAGAUCCUUUUCUCUAGUCAGGGCCUGCCCCAGAUGUGUUUCCAUUGACUCUUAGCCCCAUUCCAGGCAAGAUCAUUCAACACACAACAAGAGUGACUUUCCCUCGUUUCAGGGAGCAAGUUUCUUACUGGUGUAAAAUCGCAAAUUCCGUUAUUUUUUAGAUGUCUUUAGGGACUAUGGGUGCCAAGGUAAUACUUGCAAAAUGGGACUUGCAACUUGCUCUCUUAUCCUUUAAAUGUGUCUGGAGCUACCCUGCUGAGUAAAAGGAGGCUGCUAAUUUUGUGAUGUUCUAUUCUCAUAGCAACCGGCGGUGACGUCAGAGGGCUAUUUUAUCACAGAAGCUAUCCAAAAAAAGAAGGAGACAGUCCUGGCUUCCUUGCGCUUUAUGCAACAAUCAUUUCACAUCGAUAAAAACGGAAACAGGAAAUAAAAGACUCUAAUAGCUUAUGUGAACCUUUUUAUGAAUAGUUGCCAUGGUAUGAAAAAGCUUUCAUUUUAGCACUGAUUCGUUUGUAUCAGUGGUUAUGUAUGUGUGUGUUUUUCAAAUAGUAUUACAGGACAUUCAGUUACAAGCCUAAGCAAGAUUAGAUAAGCUAGGUCAGGCACACAGGAGAGAAAGCAGCAUCAAAGCAUUUAAAAGAAUAA